UUGUCGUGAUCGCGUUUGGUGUGGGGGGACAAAAUAUGUAUGCACGAUGGCGCACAGCCGGUUUGGGUUCCGUGUAACACGUUGUUUGCGGCAUGGUAUUGGAAGCAUAAGGACCUUAUCUUUGAUAACUAACUCGAAGUGUAUCAGAAGUGUAGUUUAGUCAGAUGGAGGCACCCAUCUGUACGGAUUUGGGCACUGCUACAGUUGCAGACCUUACAGCAUCGCUCCCUGUGAGCAUCAUGUGAACAGCACCCGUCCUCCCUGUAAAUGUGAGGGGAACACCCCUAACUGUGUGACCCAGUGCAACCCUGGAUACCCCUCCUACAUGAAGGACACAAGCUUCGACAUGCACAGACAUACAGGUGCCGCACACACCCAACUAAUAUAACAAGGACUGCCUGCUCUACAACAAGCUACAAAAACGUUUCGUCUUUGCGCACAUGUAUCCACCAAUGAGGAUGUCCUGCACUAACACACCCAGGAAUGUACGGUAAAUAAACCAUUUCACAGGACAGGUGCUGGGGAGUCAUGCCGUCAAGAUCCUGGGCAAACAACACUCCCUACUGGCUGGUUGCCAAAUAAUGGAACACAGACUGGGACGAGAAUGGGUUCUGCAAGAUCCUGCAGGGAAAGGACGAGUCUGGUAUCGAAUCAGAGAUAGUGGCUGGGAUCCCACGACGUAAGAGGAGUCCAGACUUAUCCCCAGGACUGGGGUCGACUCAGGACUGUGGUCCAUUUAAAAUAAAAUUGUCUUCAGUUUAUGAAGUGGAAAUAAUAAAACAUUCAGUAAUUUUUA